UGGGGAAUUUUGGACAAUGGGGGAAACCCUGAUCCAGCCAUCCCGCGUGUGCGAUGAAGGCCUUCGGGUUGUAAAGCACUUUUGGCAGGAAAGAAACGUCAUGGGUUAAUACCCCGUGAAACUGACGGUACCUGCAGAAUAAGCACCGGCUAACUACGUGCCAGCAGCCGCGGUAAUACGUAGGGUGCAAGCGUUAAUCGGAAUUACUGGGCGUAAAGCGUGCGCAGGCGGUUCGGAAAGAAAGAUGUGAAAUCCCAGAGCUCAACUUUGGAACUGCAUUUUUAACUACCGGGCUAGAGUGUGUCAGAGGGAGGUGGAAUUCCGCGUGUAGCAGUGAAAUGCGUAGAUAUGCGGAGGAACACCGAUGGCGAAGGCAGCCUCCCGGGAUAACACUGACGCUCAUGCACGAAAGCGUGGGGAGCAAACAGG
rnacentral:rRNA from 1 species